GUCCAAGUUCGCCCCCUCCGCACGGGGCAAACUGCGAAUGGCUCAUUAAAUCAGUCGCGGUUCCUUAGGCGAAACGACCGUCUACUCGGAUAACUGUGGCAAUUCCAGAGCUAAUACGUGCCCCGAAGCCCCGACCCCCGCGACGGGGGGAGGGGUGCUUUUAUUAGUUCAAAACCGGCGUCGUCGACGGCCGGCUCCCCCGCCCCGCCUCGGCGGCGGCGGGGGGCCGGUCGGGCGUCUCCCUUUUGAUGACUCUGGAUAAUCGAGUGCUGAUCGCACGGCCUCCGGCGCCGGCGAUGCGUCUUUCAAAUGUCUGACCUAUCAAAUGUCGACGGUACGUGACAUGCCUACCGUGUUGGCGACGGGUGACGGGGAAUCAGGGUUCGAUUCCGGAGAGGGAGCACGAGAAACGGCUACCACAUCCAAGGAAGGCAGCAGGCGCGCAACUUACCCACUCCCGACCCGGGGAGGUAGUGACGAAAAAUAACAAUACGGGACUCGUCAUGAGGCCCCGUAAUUGGAAUGAGCGCAGUCUAAACCCUUGAGCGAGGACCGAUUGGAGGGCAAGUCUGGUGCCAGCAGCCGCGGUAAUUCCAGCUCCAAUAGCGUAUAUUAAAGUUGUUGCAGUUAAAAAGCUCGUAGUUGGAAGUCGGGAGCAGGCGGGCGGUCCGGCUCGCGCCGGCGCGCCGCCCGUUGACCUGCCCCACCCCCGGCCGGCUCUCUCCCGGCGGUGCUCUUGGUUGAGCGUCCCGGGCGGCCGGCGCGUUUACUUUGAAAAAAUUAGAGUGUUCAAGGCGGGCCCGGCGCGCCCGCAUAACCGCGCAUGGAAUAAUGGAAUAGGACCUCGGUUCUAUUUUGCUGGUUUUCGGAGUCCGAGGUAAUGAUUGACAGGGACAAACGGGGGCAUUCGUAUUGCGGCGUUAGAGGUGAAAUUCUUGGAUCGCCGCAAGACGGACUACUGCGAAAGCAUUUGUCAAGAAUGUUUUCAUUAAUCAAGAACGAAAGUCAGAGGCGCGAAGACGAUCAGAUACCGUCGUAGUUCUGACCUUAAACGAUGCCGACCGGCUAUCCGCGGGAGUUGAUUCGAUGACUCCGUGAGCGGCCUCCGGGAAACCUGAGUCUUUGGGUC
rnacentral:rRNA from 1 species